GACGAACGCUGGCGGCGUGCUUAACACAUGCAAGUCGAACGGAAAGGCCCUGCUUUUGUGGGGUGCUCGAGUGGCGAACGGGUGAGUAACACGUGAGUAACCUGCCCUUGACUUUGGGAUAACUUCAGGAAACUGGGGCUACUACCGGAUAGGAGCUCCUGCUGCAUGGUGGGGGUUGGAACGUUUCGGCGGUUGGGGUUGGACGCGCGGGUUAUCAGCUUGCUGGUGGGGGAGUGGCUUACCAAGGCAUUGGCGGGUAGCCCGCCCGUGGAGGUGACCGGCCACCCUGGGUCUUAGGGGAGGCCCCAGUGGCGAAUGGGGGACAAUGGGGGGAAGUCUGACCCAGGGGCCGAAGCCUGAUGAAGCAACGCCGCGUGCGGGAUGGCGGCCUUCGGGUUGUAAACCGCUUUCGCCUGUGACGAAGCGUGAGUUACGGUAAUGGGUAAAGAAGCACCGGCUAACUACGUG
rnacentral:rRNA from 1 species